ensembl:lncRNA
AAAGCAUGGGCAGUCCUGCAUCCUCUUGUCACCCUGGGCCUCAGCUUGGGGGCUAUCCCUUGUCCCUCCACCAUUUGUGCCUUGGCACCUUGUCUGCCCCCAGCUGUGCCUUAAGGACUAAUUCUGGCACCCUCUGCUGGGAACUCCCUGAAUGCCUUUUAUUCCUUAAGGAGGUACACAGGGAAAGGGGCUUUGGGCCCCACCCUACUCUGCUUGGGAAUACCAAGUAUUCCAUGAGUUCACCUUAACCAGGUUGAUCUUUCUAAGAGGCUAACCCAGUGCUCCCCUCCAUUUCCUGCUACUGAGCAGUUCAUCCAGCUUUCCACAAAGUUGUUGCUGCCUGAUGUGAUGCCUCCUCAAGAUAGGGGCUCUAACCUCUCUCUGUCUUAGUUCUUGAAGUAGGCUCUCAAAAAUGUUCUCUCCUUCUCCCAAGGGAGGAGCCACAGAAUCCUCAGAAGAAAAAUGUGCCCUAACCUGCCCCAUGUGCCCAGGAUUGAUGCACCUGCUGAAUGACUCAGGCCCCAUGCUCCUGGGGGCCUUUCCUACCCCCAUCAGCAUCAAUAAAACCUCCUGUCUCCAAAAAAAAAAAGAAAGAAAGAAAAGCAGAUUACCCAUUCCUGCCUCACCCCUCUAUCAUCCCCCCUUGUGGAAGGGGGAAUGGGAAGGGGAGCAACAUUUGAAAUGUAAAUAAAUAAAUAAAUAAAUAAAUAAAUAAAGGGGGAAUCACUUUAAAAAUUAAAAAAAAUUGACAUCAAGUCAGAAUAGAAUUUUCAAAAAUUUUUGAAAUGGAACCAAUACUUUUACAUUUAAUACUUUCGAUUGAAGUGUGAGAUCAACACUGAAAAGUAUUAAGGAUGUCAGAAUCCCAUAGUUUCAAAUAUUCCAUUAAGAUUUAAUUUAAUUUUAUAUGUAAAAAUAAACAAGCACACCAUCUCAUUAGCAUAAAAAAGCAGAUUAAACACUUCCCAUAUACAAUGCCACAUGAUAUACAUUACUAUUCCAAAAGGGAGGAAAGUAAGCAUUAUGAAGAAAUAUUGGACCAAAACAAGGCUGAAAAGAAGGUAGGCAAACUCCAAACUCUGCAUCUCCAUGUUCAAUGCCAAUGUGCUUUUCAUAUCUGCAACUCUUUUAGCUUUGUUGACAGAUACAUGCUCUUCUCUGUUUGGCUGUUUUCACAGCCUGUGAGCACCUUUUCUUGGCAGGUAUCUCUUGGCUCUGGCAUGUUAAAAUUUUUAAGGUCUCUAAGGCAAUCAAGGCUUCACAGCUUCAAAAAAUAUCCACUUUAGGCCUAUAUGCACAUACUCUCCAGACACAUUCAUGACCUCAGUGGCUUUGCAUAGGUGUGAAGAAUGUUUUUCUAAGAUCUUUCCAAUAUCCUUGACUCUAAAGCCAGAACCACAUGGCCUGUUGAGCAGUAUUCACCAGGAGAAGCUACUUAGGGAUGGGUUGAACCCAGUAAAAGUCUUUGUUAGUCAGCUAUGGACUAUACUGAGAUUUGGAGAACCCAGUGUUAACCUGAAUAUUUCCUGUGGUGAAUUUUAAGCAGAAAAAAAGCAUGAUCUGGGUUGACAUAUUUCAAUUAACAAAAACAUUUAGCCAGAGGCAUGAACUACAAAAGCUAGAAAGCAAAGUUAAUGCAUUUUGAGACUUUGCCAAAACUAUACAAAUUUAAUGAAUUAUGUCUUUGCUUUCAUUCUGGCAGGUGCUGUCUACAUGCUGAGUUUACACACUGAUUGUUACUUUCUUCAUGAAAUCAGUUGUGCUAUGUUCUGGGGGCCAAUUAAGGUCUGAAUCUCUGUUAUAUUACUCACUGGUCUUAGUGAACAAGUCAAGACUCAUUUUCUUUUAGUGUAAAAUGCAGAGUUCCACUGUUCAUCUAAUCUUUCUUUUAUCUCUUGAGAUUUCUAAGUUUGUCCAAUUUUGUAGAAUUACCUCUGACAGGGGAUUUUUAACUAUUGUUUUAAUUCAAAAACUAAAAUUUUAAUACUCCUAGAUGCUGGCUAAUGAAUUUAUUUAGUCAAACCAUUAGUACGUAUACACAGAGUAGUUAGUAUCAGAAGCUCAGUAAUACUGUGGUUGUCCAUAUGAAUUAACCCAAAAGCAGAAUAGCAGUAAUCAGAAGAAGGGAAGUGCCUAGACUAAAAGGUUUUAUAUAUUACACAAGUUUCUUGUUACUUAUAAGUCCUUUAACAUUACUUUAGGCUGUCUCUAGUCACACUGACUUUCAUUGGUCAAUAGACUCAAAUCUGGUUAGUUCUCACAUUCAUGUAGUACAGGGGCAGGGUAUCUCAGCAUAACCAGCACUCCUCACUUAUUUAUUGGGUAGGAAUGUUUAACUCCAUUCCCAGUGACCCUUUCUGUGGCAUAUUGUCUGAUUCCAUGUUGUUUGUUUUCUGUUUUCCAAAAACAGAAUCAUUUAAAGAAGUUUCUUUAGGAAGGGUCAAUUUUAUAAAUCCAAUUUUUGUAAUGGAAAUUCCCAUGUUCCAAAUCUCUAUUCAUACAAAACAUAUGUUUCAAGAGGAGGUAGAGGAGCAGAGAAUGAAAACACCUGAAGACCAGUGAGACCUUAUUUUCAAUGAGUCUGUAGUCUAGAAACAGUUUAUUUGGCAGUAGCAUCUGUGGCUUCUGUUUCCUUGACUUGGGUAAGGUGGAUCAAUGUUUAAUGACAGCUAUUUUCACAAUAAUAGGAAUGGAGAGAAACACUGUAAGGAAUCUUUUAAAGUUGAUUUCUUUGCAUCUUUGGCUACCUAAAUGACACAGUCAAUAUUACUAGACUGGACAGGGGGAAACUGAUGGCAGAUUCUCAGAGGUAAGCUGGCUCUCUCUGAUAGACAAAGUCUUUAUUAAUGGCUGUAGUACCUGUAGUGACUGUUUUUUGUUGUUGUUGUUGUUGUUGUUGUUGUUUGUUUGUUUGUUUGGUUUUUACAUUUACUUUGUUUAUAUAAGUAUACUGUUGCUGUCUUCACACAUAUCAGAAGAAGGUGUUGGCUUACAGAUGGUUGUGAGCCACCAUGUGGUUGCUGGGAAUUGAACUCAGAACCUCUGAAAGAACAGUCAGUGCUCUUAACUACUGAGCCAUCUCUCCAGUCUGCCUGUAGUGACUUAAGAAAUUAAUGGUUAGAGAGUUCUGCCAAUUGCUGGUCUCUGAGCAUAGGAAGCAGUAGUGAAGAUCUCCCAACGUAAUUUCAUAGAAGGGUAAAUUUCUCUGUAUAUGGGUACAGUGGGCAGAAGCAAAACAAAAGGAGGCCUAUCCAUCCUUUGGUGGUCUCCAAUGAGUGGUUUAUUAAUGUUUCUUUUAACAUCUUUUUUCUUUUUCUUAAAUCUGGCCAGAACUCUGAGGCCUAUAUGGAAAAUAGAAUUUUCAUUCUAUGUCUAAGACCUAGCUAUUAAUCAAGAAGUUUAGACUAUAAAAGCCCAUUACUAGACGGACGCUAAAUAAUGAGAUUAGUUCCUGGAGGAGCUUCUUAGCUACUAUUUGAGCAGUUUCAGUCCAGAUAAGGAAUAGUUCUACCCAUUAAGAAAAGGUAUCUAUAAAAUGUAGCAAACACUUUUGUCUUUCCUCAGUAAGCUGGAUCUUGAUGAAGUCAGUAUUUUCCAGAGUUUAUGGGAAUGUUGGUCUAUCAUUUGGACCCCUUCCUGCAUAAGAGCUUUUUGUUUUGAAUCCACUUGAGUAUGAACUAGAAUCUGACUGAGACAUCCUAUGUUAGCGGUUCACUCUCUAUUUAAGAUACCUUGGUGUGAGCAACUCAGAAAGUUUUGUGAACUCCACAUGAGUUGCUUAACUUGAGCCCAAAUCAUUUCAGUUGAAGUAACUAUAACAGUUUUGCCUUUUAUCUUGUGAGAGUCAUGAAUGAGGACAUAUGGGUUAGUCAUAAGGAAAGACGAUAUUGGGAUUGAUAAUGGGGUGUUUCUCAAACCAGACUCAAGGAUGAGCCUAGUACUGAGUCUCACAGUCAUUUGACAGCCAACAUUCUGAUAUUUUUCACAGGAGGGUGCUGUGAGUGUAAGAGCUUUACUCAGAACUUCGUUGUUUUCUUUUAUUAAAAUUGCUGGAGUUUUCACAGCUCUUAGACAGGUGGGGCCCUCCUGUGGCUACAGGGUCCAAUCCUUUCAAGGUUAUAUACAAGGUAUUUCCAAGCCCCAAAGUUUGAAUUAAAAUCCUUUUGUCUUUUCUUUAUUCUCAGUUCAAAUUCGAGGCUUAGUGCUCUGUUCCACUGUGCUAAUGUAUAAUAUAUAAUGUAUAAUGCCUUGCUAUUUCCUUAAACUCUGGUACUUGGAGGCAGCAAUUCAGAGGCUGUACCUGGCUCUCAAAUCUCAAACUCUCAAACUAGUCUCUUAGUGUUUGGAGUUGGGAUCUGAAGAAUGGCAUCAAUGCUACAUUGAGACAAGCUCCUUUUUACUCUCUUAAGCUGGUAGCCAAAAAUAAAUUGUGUUCUAUAAAAACGCUGGGCUUUCUUAGCCUACUUUAUGUACUAUGAGAUCUGUAACUCUUGCAGCAAUCCCCUCAGUGAUCUAUUUUCCAGGAAACCUCUGAUGGAAGGCCAGAAAGUCUGUAUUUAAUGACUUUAAAUCCUCGAGCAACCUGGUCUAGGUUAAUGUACAGAUGGUAUCUUCAUUGAAUUUGAAUAUAGGAUGUUUGGGAACUGGUGACAGCUCUGUAGGGGGGAGGAUGGAAGUCGAGAACCUCAACACCCGUUAGAAUACCUAAUUAACAGUUCUUGGACUCAGUCAAUAAGAAGCUGUAAAGGUAUGCUAAACCGUAUGCAAAUUUAGCUUCCUUAGUUUUCUGUACUUGUCAUUUUGUUUUCCUGAUCUACAAAUUCCUGCAUAUUGAGGUUAAGAUCUCAACAGUGCAUUUAUGUGGGCAAACAGGAAAUUAAUAAGUCAAAAGUUACAGAAACAAAUGCAUGUAUAUGUAUUCACAAUCUAAAUAAUGUUUUUUUGAGACAGUGUCACACAUUGAACCCAAGUUGGCCUUGAGUAUGCAAAAAUCCUGCUACAGAAGCUUCCUUAGACCUGGAAUUACUAGGUUGCAUUACUAUGAGGUCAUAUAUUUGUUAGUAAAUUGUGUCUAUUUUCCACCCCCACCAGUUAUUCAUUAUUGAUAACAGUUUAAAUGUAAGAAAAGUUAGUAGGCAGGGAAUUUCUCAUAUAUAUGAGACAUAUAUUUUAUAAGUAUAUAUAAUAUAUAUAUCAUAAAUAUAUUUAUAUAUAUUAUAUAGAGCUCAGUUGUUGUUGGUUUACCCCUUUAAUUACAGAACUGGGCAGAGGUAGGUUCAUCUUGAGUUCAUCACCAGUUUGUUAAAAAUGAAAAUUCUUGGAGAGCCAGAACUACACAGAUAAACUCUCUCCAAAACCAACAACAAAAGAAGCUGAAGCUUCCUAAUGGAAUGUAAUUUCUAUUAAAAUUUAAUUGCACCAUGAUUUGGGAGAAAUAUUUGUCUUCCUAAUAAUAUGUUCUAAUGCAGAGAAAGAAAAUACAAAUAUCACUACAUCAAAUAAAUGUAGAAUUAGGAGUCAGGAUAAACUUCUGUACAGAAAUUUAAGCAUCUGACAAUUUGGCUGGGUCUCAUGUUUAAUAUGCUUUUUUCUUUCGAAAAUCAUUAUUUUUGGCACAGUAUGAAGCAUGAUAUAGCUUAGAAACCACAUUUUUUUUUAAUAUUGGAGAUCAAACCUUUUUUUUCCCUUCCCAUAUAGAAAAAUCUGUGUAUUUUAAAAUCUCC